GUCUGCACACAAGUGUCUGACUGUAAAUAGAAGCAUGCUUCUUUGUAUAAUUAAUGGGACUUCCUCACCCUUUCCCUUCUCACCCAAUAUUAAAACUGAAAGGCACUGUACAGCUUAACGAAGAUUGAUAAGAAUCUAUACUGUCAACUGAACUGCUACUUGAAUCUCUACGCCUUUGAGCAGUUAAGUCUAGCAAAAGAGGGAUGUGACUGAAGGCAUUUCUGGCUGAUCUACACUAAGAGGUCUGAGGAAAGGAUAGGCUGUGCACAGAUUGUGACUGGAUGGUGGAAUGGCGUGAAGUUAACCUUGGUGACUUAACAAAAUAACUGAAAAAGAUUAAAGACUGAAUUAUCGACCCAUUUCCGUGUUUCUCUCUCCGCUCCUGGACCAUACACGAAUGUACCGACAGCACGUCUUGACAACACGAAGACGUCUGGACCCAGCAGAGAGAGAGAGAGAAAGCAGCUGACCCUGAGAUUCAAUAGUCAGGUGCCUGGGAUCUUGUCAGCAUCCAUGAUCUGCAGCUGCACUCAAACUAUGUUCUUCACGGGCAGUCGGUUCUCACUCUUCUCUGUGGGCGACGCGAUUCCUCGCUGGUGACACUGACUGAAGCGUCGCAGGAGUUCGAAACACUGAGACAGCAGGCACAGCUGUCUCUCUAUCUUUUUGUCUCUCCCUUUUGAUAGUGAGUAAGAAUCUGUUGGCUCCAAGUCAGAGGAACUCAAAUAAGUGACACUGCAGACUGUAACAUCAAAAUAGCGGGCUUUUGGCCUUCCCUCUCGCUGUGGCAGGACUGAUAUCUCUCACUCCUUCAUUAGUGAGAGAGAGGGCCUGUUGAGAUGCUGAAGUGUUGGGAUGGUCAGUAGGUUUUGAUUGACUCUAGAUCAUAGCUUCUGGGGGCUUGCUAUUGCUUGAAUGGUGGGUGGUGCUGAUGCAUUUGCUGAAGCUAGACAGGGAGGGGGAGGGGAAAGGGUUGAUGCUUUUGCUGCUACUUAUGUGUGUGGGGGAGAGGGUGGCCUUUGGGGUUCAAACGUUUUUCUGUCAUUCGUUCUUCGGAAUUUUGUUCUCUGUUUGCAAAGAGUAAGGAUUUCAGGUUGUAUACUGUAUAUGUGCUCUGAUUUUAAACUGAGCCUUUGAAUCAUCGAACUGGGUGUAUAUUCAUGGUCAUCGACUGCUGUAGUACAUCCACUUCAAAAUUUAAUGUGUUGUGCAAUAGAGAUGCUUCCCUGCACACCAUUUUUGUAGCACAUUGUUAUUAGAGUUACUAUCGUCUUCCUGUCAGCUUGAACCAGUCUGGCCUUUCUCCUCCAACCUCUCUCAUUAACAUGACAUUUUUGUCCCACAGAGCUGCCGCUCACUAGAUAUAUUUUUGUUUUUUGCACCAUUCCCUGUAAACCCUAGGGCAUGGGGUCCCAACCUAGGGUCCAUGGACCCCUUGCUUAAUGAUAUUAGUCCAUGCCAUUAAAAAAAAACCUUGGGAUCCCCUGCUCUAGAGACUGUUGUCCGUGAAAAUCCCAGGAGAUCCUCCAGUCACCCUACCUGGCACCAACAAUCAUUCAAUGGUCAGAGUCACUUCGAUGACAUUUCAUCCCCAUUCUGAUAUUUGGUCUGAAGAACAACUGAACCUCUUGACCAUAUCUGCAUGCUUUUAUGCAUGGAGUUGCUGCCACAUAAUUGGCUGAUUAGAUUUUGCUUUAACGACCAAGUGUUUCUAAAUAAUAAAGUGGCUAAUGAGUGUGUAUUUUUCAUUCAAGCUUCAAUAAUGAGGGAGAAAAAGAAACAAGAACAGACCUCCAAAAUAUGGGGCUUAUUUUCAAACUACCAGAAUAAGAGCUAACAGGCUGUCUUCCUGUCUCUAGGACAAGCCAGGCUUGAUUCGCCAGGGGCCCAGUGUUUUUUUCGUACUUUGUUUUCAAAAUUAAAAAAAAACAAUGAAAUCAACAAGAACAUACCAGCUCAGACAUGUGUAAAAAUGAAAUAAGCAAAAAAAAAAGGGACAUAACAUUAGAGGGGUGCCUAUUGUACAAAGUGCUCAAAAAUACUAAACAUUAAAUCUCAAAUGAGGGCCGUGAGAAAUCAGAUGGGCGGAAUUUGCUCAUCCGCCCCCGGCCUCAUCCAGGUAGGCAAGAAAUGGAUCCCAGAUAGCUGAAAACUUUUUAAUUGAAUUGGUUCUCAAGAACCUGAGUUUCUCCAUCUGUAUGACUGAGGUCAUGUCAGCCAUCCAUCUCCGAAAGGAAGGGGGAGAGGGUGAUUUCCAUUCCCUCAAGAUAAGUCUUUUCGCGACAAUCAUCCUCAGCAUCAGAGACUGUUGUAUGGCUGUAGAGAAGCAUAGAGUAGAUUGUGAACAGCCAAAGAUGGCGAGACCAGCUUCCAAGGGGAAGGAUCUUUCAUAGGCCUUUGAGUACCAGUCAAAUAUUUUGGACCAAAAUCCAGUCAAUGAUGGCAAAACCAAAAGGUGUGUGACAACAUGGCCUCCAUCCCUUGGCAUCUAUCACACAUUGGUGAGACAGAAGGGUAAAUCUGUGCGAUUUAAGUUUAGAGUAAUGGAGAUAAUGGACAAAUUUAAACUGAAUCAGUUGGUGUCUGUUGUUAACAGAGCAAGCCUGUAUCAUAGACAAACUCUUGUCCCAGGCAGCUUCAGAUAAUUCAAUGCCCAACUCCUCUCUCCAGGCAUCUGUAAUCUUCACAGUAGACGCUACAGUACAAUCAUCAAACAAACGUACAAACUUAGAAAUGAGAUGCCUGGAGUCAGGAGGGUUCUUUAAAAUAUCAAAAAAUAUAUGCUUCCCUGGAAGGAUUUCAAAAUUACAAAUCUUAGAUUGAACGUAGUGUCUAAUUUGUAAGUAAUGAAAAAAGUGCGAAUGAGGCAGCUCAAAUUUCUCUUUCAGCAGACUAAAUGUUGCAAACCAUCCCUCUAUGUACGGGUCUUCAAUAGAAACUAGACACUUCUCCCUCCAAGCAUGGUAGGUUCUAUCUGACCAUGAGGGUAGAAAGGAGUGAUUGAAACAGAAUGGUAUUUGUACAGAGGUCUCUGGUAAAUUCAGAACGUUCCUAAUCUGAUUUAGGAUUCUGACGGAAGUUUUCAAAACAAAACUUAAACUUUUUGAAGUCCCAGGCUUUUCUAACUUAGAGAACAGCAUGGCUGGCAAGGAGGAAUUGACAACAGAGUUAGACUCCAUACAUAGCCAUAAGCGAGCCCCAGGGGAUAGGUUAUGCAGAGCCCCUUUUGCCAAAACAUUAAAGCCCUAGCAUUGACAGCCCAAUAAUAGUGUCUAAAUACAGGUAAUCCCAGCCCUCCUUCAGACUUGGGCUUUUGUAAAUGAAUUUUCAAAAUCCUGUGAUUCUUUUAAUUCCAGAUAUAAGACAAUAUUAUGGAGUCCAAUUCUUUAAAGAAGGCUGAUGUAAGAAAAAUGGGGAGAUUUUGACAAAGAUAGAGAAACCUAGGAAGGGAAACCAUUUUAGUUGAAUUUAUAUGACCAAUCAUGGACAGAGGUAGGGUUUUCCAACUUCCUAUAUUUUGUUUAAGUUUUGAAAUAAACUCUGCAAAGUUUAAUUCAAAUAUUAAUUUAGGAUCUUUGGGGAUUGCCAAACCAAGAUAAGUAAAGUGAUCUUUAACUACUUUGAAUGGGACACUUUCCAAAAAACCCCACGUGUAGACGAUGGAUAGGGUCACGAAGUCACUUUUUGGCCAAUUGUUUGAGUAUCCCGAUAGUCUGCCAAAAGAGGUGAUUAAAUCUAGAAGAAGGGGGACUACCUUUUCUGAGUUUUGUAAGUAGAGUAUCACAUCGUUGGCAUAUAAACUAAUAAGUGUUUCAAUACCUCCCACUUUCAAACCCACAAUAUUUGGUUGACUUCUUAUUUUUAGGGCAAUGGGCUCUACCGCGACGGCAAAGAUGUAAUUGAAUUGAAUUGUCACCAUUAGUUAUAAUAAAACACAUUGGGCUGUUGUAUAUCAGUUUUACCCAGGAAAUAAAUGACUCGCUGAAUCCAAACCUGUACAGUGACUCAAACAUGUAAGGCCACUCAAUCUGGUCAAAAGCCUUCUGUGCAUCAAGGGAUAAAAUUGCUGCCCUACUAACUUUCCCAUGAUCAGCAUAUAUAGUAUUACAGAAGAAUCUGACAUUGGAAAAAGAGAAACUACCCGGAAUAAAUCCUGUCUGAUCAGGAUGAGUGAUAGAUGACAAAUGCUUAUUUAGUCGAUUAGCCAGCAUUUUAGUAAUUAUCUUUCUAUCGAAAUUUUGGAGUGCAAUGGGCCUACAGCUGGCUGGGUCUGUUUCCUUUUUACCUUUCUUUAAAAUGAGGGAAAUGUUAGCCUCGUACAAUGUUUUAGAUAAGACUUUAUCCCUGUUAGAGCAAGAUAUAAUUCUGAGGAGAAGUGGAGCAAGGAUAUCACAAAAUUUCUUAUAAAAUUCACAGCCAAAGCUGCCUUGCCGGACCGAAAUAACUUAAUGGCAGAAGUUAUUUCUUCCAAUGUGAAGUCAGAAUCCAGGUCCUCCCGAGCAGUGUCACUAAGUUUUGGCAUUACAAAAGAAUCAGAGAAGUCAUUCAAAUCAGAUUGAGUGGCAUUGCAUUUAGAAGUGCAGAGUUCACUGUAAAAUUCUUUUAAAAUCAUUUACCUCCUUGGAGUUAGUUAACAGGGUAUCCGCCCUCGAUCUAAAGCAAUGAAUUGACCUUAGGGCCUGGGUACCCCUACGCUGCUGCGCCAGAAGCCCCCCCCCCCAGGUUUGUCCUCCAUUUUGAAAUGCUUUUGUCUUAAUUUUAAGAGGAGGUUAUUUAUUUGACUACCCAAGAUACAAUUGUACUCGUAUUUAAGCUUCAUUAUAUUAUUAUAAUCUUCAGAGGAUUUCGAAGCCUGGUAUGUCGCUUCGAGGGUUGGGAGAGUAUUCCCAAUCUCUAAUAAUCGCCCUUCUCUCUCCCUCUUAGCAGCGGUUUCAUAUGAAAUUAUAUACCCACGAGUUACAACUUUUAAUGUCUCCCAGUGCGUGGAAUCUGACAG